AAUCAACGCUGGCGGCGUGCCUCAGACAUGCAAGUCGAACGAUUAAACUUUCCUUCGGGAAAGAUAUAAAGUGGCGCACGGGUGAGUAACACGUAGGUAAUGUACCUUUGGGUGGGGAAUAACUUAGGGAAACUUAAGCUAAUACCGCAUAAUGCAGCGGCUCCUUCGGGAGACAGUUGUUAAAGAUUUAUCGCCUAAAGAGCAGCCUGCGGCAGAUUAGCUAGUUGGUAAGGUAACGGCUUACCAAGGCUACGAUCUGUAUCCGACCUGAGAGGGUGGUCGGACACACUGACACUGAAUAACGGGUCAGACUCCUACGGGAGGCAGCAGUCGGGAAUUUUGGGUCAAUGGGCGAAAGACCUGACCCAGCAACGCCGCGUGAAGGAUGAAGUCUUUC
rnacentral:rRNA from 1 species